UCCGAGUUGACCCCGGCAGUCUCCCACGAGUCCCCGCCAUUACGCGCUGGCAACAUAGGAUAAGGGUUGCGCUCGUUGCGGGACUUAACCCAACAUCUCACGACACGAGCUGACGACAGCCAUGCAGCAUCUGUGGUGCACCCUCGAAGGUCACACGUUUCCGCGCGCUUGCAGCACCAUGUCAAGUCCAGGUAAGGUUCUUCGCGUUGCAUCGAAUUAAAGAACAUGCUCCGCUGCUUGUGCGGGCCCCCGUCAAUUUCUUUGAGUUUUAACCUUGCGGCCGUACUCCCCAGGCGGAUAACUUAACGCGUUAGCUGCGCCACCAAAGCUCUAAGAGCCAUGACAGCUAGUUAUCAUCGUUUACGGCGUGGACUAC
rnacentral:misc_RNA from 1 species